UACGGGGGGUGCAAGCGUUGUUCGGAUUGAUUGGGCGUAAAGCGCUCGUAGGCGGGUUCACAAGUCGGAUGUGAAAUCCCCGGGCUUAACCUGGGAAUUGCAUCUGAAACUAUGGAUCUUGAAUGCUUGAGGGGUUGGUGGAAUUCUUGGUGUAGGAGUGAAAUCCGUAGAUAUCAAGAGGAAUACCGGAGGCGAAGGCGGCCGACUGGCAAUGCAUUGACGCUGAGGAGCGAAAGCGUGGGGAGCAAACAGG
rnacentral:rRNA from 1 species